CUUAGUAUUACUUAGUUUCAGUUAGAUGAGACUUUGGAUUCCUAGGAGAGAGAGAAAAUAAUUUAUAUUCCUUUGUCAAGUGGGUUGAGAUUUGGCAGCUGCUGUCGUGCACUUUAUGCCUUGUGAGAAUCUGCACAAGCCUAGUCCCCAACUCAUAUUGCGUACCUAGUACAUACUUACUGGAUGAAUGGCUUCGCAUUACUAGGUCACAAACCCAUCUCAUUCCUUGAAAUGAAACAAAUUUUUUUUCUACAUAGAGAAAAAGCAUUUACUUAUGAUACAAUCUGUCCACUUCCUUUGCAUUUUUAUUCUUCAGUGAGGACCAAAGUACAAAAGCUUCUGAAAAUACUGAAAACCGAAAAGAGCCUGACGAAGUUAGCAACACUAAAUCAUCUUCUCAGACACCUGCUCAGCCACCAGUAGCAAAAGGUCCCUAUGGGAAAGGUCCUCCAUUUAAUCAGGAACGUGGGCCAUCUUCACACCUGCCACCACCUCCAAAGUUGCUUGUGCAGCAGCAUCCACCUCCAGAUCGACAGGGAAUACCUGGAAGAUCGGGCCCUUUUCCUCCCAAGCAGCAAGUACCUGAUGAAGAUGAAAUAUGGAAGCAAAGACGAAGGCAACAAUCUGAAAUUUCUGCUGCAGUGGAACGUGCUCGUAAACGACGUGAGGAAGAAGAGCGAAGAAUGGAGGAACAGAGGAAGGCAGCAUGUGCAGAGAAACUGAAGCGAUUGGAUGAGAAGUUUGGCAUUGUGGAAAAACAACCAUCACCAGAGGAAAUUAGGGAGAGAGAGAGAGAAAAAGAACGGGAGCGUGAAAAAGAACUUGAAAAGGAACAAGAACAGGAGCGAGAGAAAGAGAGGGAAAGGGAGAGGCAGCAGGAAAAGGAAAAAGAACUGGAGAAAGAGCAGGAAAAACAAAGAGAAGUGGAGAAGGAAAGAAAGCAAGAAAAAGAGAAAGAAUUAGAACGACAGAGGGAAAAAGAAAAAGAAUUACAAAAGAUGAAAGAACAGGAAAAAGAAUGUGAUUUGAAGAAAGAAAGGGAAAAAGUAGAGGGAAAAAUAGAACCCAAAGAACCUGUUUUAGAGUUGGUGACUGAAAAACAAGAAAAUGAAAAAGGCUGUAGUAAAGAAGAGGAGCCAGUUUUCACCAGACAAGAUAGUAAUCGCAGUGAAAAGGAGACCACACAAGUGGUACAUGAAACAGAACCAGAAUCAGGAUCUCAACCUCGGCCUGCUGUGCUAUCUGGCUACUUCAAGCAGUUUCAGAAGUCCUUACCACCACGAUUCCAGAGACAGCAGGAACAGAUGAAACAGCAGCAGUGGCAGCAGCAGCAGCAAGGUGUACUUCCACAGACUGUCCCUUCACAACCGUCCAGUAGUACCGUCCCUCCUCCACCACACAGACCGCUUUACCAACCCAUGCAACCUCACCCUCAGCAUUUGGCUUCCAUGGGCUUUGACCCAAGGUGGCUAAUGAUGCAGUCCUACAUGGAUCCCCGAAUGAUGUCGGGAAGACCUGCUAUGGAUAUUCCACCCAUUCAUCCUGGAAUGAUUCCUCCUAAGCCAUUAAUGAGAAGAGACCAGAUGGAAGGGUCACCAAGCAAUUCUGAAUCAUUUGAGCAUAUAGCGCGAUCUGCUAGAGAUCAUGCAGUUUCUCUUCCUGAGCCCCGAAUGAUGUGGGGGUCAGAUCCGUAUCCUCAUGCUGAGCCACAGCAGGCACCUACACCUAAGACAAAUGAAGAAACUGAGGAUGUAAGGCCUGAAGCCGCCUUGGACCAGGAACAGAUUACUGCUGCUUAUCCUGUAGAACAUAGUCAGUUGGAGACGCAUCCAAAAGCUGACUUUGUUAGAGAAUCAAGUGAAACAGAAGUACAGAAAUUUUUAAGCAGAUCUGUGGAAGACAUUAGGCCUCAUACUGAUACAAAUAACCAUUCUGCUUGUUUUGAAGUACCUGAUCAGAAGACCUUAUCUAGUACUCCAGAAGAGCAGAUUUCAGCUCUAGAAAGUCAGCCUGCUCGGAAAAGAAGUGUUUCCCAUGGAUCUAACCUUUCGCAGAAAUCAGAGGAACAAAGAAAUGAGCCAUCUGUAAGCCUUCCUAAAGUAACCAGCAGAUGCAUUGAUUCAAAAGAACCAGCAGAAAGGCCAGAGGAAAAGCCAAGAAAAGAUAGCUUUAUACGAUCUUCUGAAGGGCCAAAACCUGAAAAGGUAUAUAAAUCUAAAUCAGAAACCCGCUGGGGCCCAAGGCCAAGCUCCAACAGAAGGGAAGAAGGUAAUGAUAGGCCUGUGAGACGAUCCGGUCCCAUUAAAAAACCUGUGCUUAGAGAUAUGAAAGAGGAACGAGAGCAAAGGAAAGAGAAAGAAGGAGAAAAAGUUGAAAAGGCUACUGAAAAAGUAGUAAAACCUGAAAAGACAGAAAAGAAGGAUCUUGUUUCUCCCCCAUCACCACCUGCAGCACCAGUUCAGCCACCAUCAGUUCCAGCAUCAGUACAACCAGAACCAGAGAAAUUUCCUUCAACAGAACCAUCAACUUUGGCUCAAAAGCCAUCUCAAGAUACUGAGAAGCCUUUGGAACCUGUAAGUAGUGUUCAGGUAGAGCCUGCAGUUAAAACUGUGAACCAACAAACUGCUCCAUCUCCAGCAGUCAAAGAAGAAAAACAGCCUGAGAAAGCCAUCAGCAAAGAUGCUGCUAUAGAGAGAACUCGAACAGAUUCAAGGCCAGCAGUGAAAAAAGAGCCAACUUUACCCCCUAGGCCCUACUGGAAAGAAGCUAGAGAUAGAGAUUGGUUUCCAGAUCAAGGAUACAGAGGCCGAGGCCGAGGUGAAUAUUACUCCAGAGGUCGAAGCUACAGAGGCUCUUACGGAGGGCGUGGUAGGGGUGGUAGAGGGCAUACCCGAGAUUAUCCCCAGUAUAGAGACAAUAAGCCGAGAACAGAGCAUGUGCCCUCCACUCCUCUCAGACAACGAGAAGAGAGUGAAACGCGAAGUGAAAGUUCUGACUUUGAAGUCAUGCCCAAAAGACGACGACAGCGGGGUUCAGAGACUGAUACAGACAGUGAAGUUCAUGAAAGUGCAAGUGACAAGGAUAGUUUAAGCAAAGGCAAACUUCCCAAAAGAGACGAAUGGUCUGAAAACAAAAAACCUCUAAAGCCUCAGUCUUCUUUCAAGCCUGAAAAUCAUGUUCGAAUGGAUCAUAGGCCACUUGAAAAGCCUUAUGUACGGGAAGAUGAUAAAUCUAAACCAGGCUUCCUUCCUAAAGGAGAGCCCACAAGGCGAGGCAGAGGAGGAACUUUCAGGCGUGGUGGGAGGGAUCCUGGAGGCCGUCCAUCACGCCCUUCCACCCUGCGCAGACCUCCAUAUCGGGACAAUCAGUGGAACCCAAGGCAGACUGAAGCUCCUAAACCAGAAGAUGGAGAGCCACCAAGAAGACAUGAACAGUUUAUUCCUAUACCAGCAGAUAAACGACCUCCAAAAUUUGAACGAAAAUUUGACCCGGCUAGAGAGAGACCCCGAAGGCAGCGUCCUACCCGGCCACCAAGGCAAGAUAAGCCUCCUCGAUUUAGACGUCUAAGAGAGAGGGAGGCUGCUACAAAAACAAAUGAAGUGUCAUUGCCCACAAAUGGCACAGUUCAUAAUGCGGUUCAAGAACCAGCUAAUACUGCUGGAGAUAUUUCUGGGAAUAAGACACCAGACUUAUCUAAUCAGAACUCUUCAGAUCAGGCAAAUGAAGAAUGGGAAACAGCUUCUGAAAGUAGUGAUUUCAAUGAGAGACGAGAGAGGGAAGAAAAAAAAAAUGCUGAUUUGAAUGCACAGGCAGUUGUAAAGGCUGGAGAGAAUGUUUUACCUCCUAAGAGAGAAAUAGCAAAGAGAAGCUUUUCCAGCCAGAGACCUGGAAUAGAUCGCCAGAAUCGGCGUGGCAACAAUGGUCCCCCCAAAUCAGGAAGAAAUUUCUCAGGUCCUAGGAAUGAAAGAAGAAGUGGCCCACCAUCAAAAAGUGGAAAGAGAGGGCCAUUCGAUGACCAGUCCGUAGGCCCAACCUGUGUUGACCCCAUCAAUAGCAGUUCUGCACACCACCAGGAAGGAGCACCUAAUGGUACAGGACAAAAGAGUUCUAAGGAUUCUGCUGGGAAAAAAAGAGAAGACACCAAACCAGGUCCUAAAAAACCCAAAGAGAAAGUAGAUGCUCUCUCCCAGUUUGAUCUUAACAAUUAUGCAAGUGUUGUUAUAAUUGACGAUCACCCUGAAGUAACAGUAGUUGAAGACCCCCAGUCAAAUUUGAAUGAUGAUGGUUUUACCGAAGUGGUAUCUAAAAAACAACAAAAACGUUUACAGGAUGAGGAACGUCGAAAGAAGGAAGAACAAGUCAUACAGGUUUGGAACAAAAAGAAUACAAAUGAGAAAGGAAGAAGUCAGACUUCUAAGCUUCCUCCAAGAUUUGCCAAAAAACAAGCUACAGGGACCCAGCAAGCCCAAGCUCCAGUCUCAGCUCUAGUUUCAGCUCCAGUUCCAUCCUCGACCUCAGCUCUGGUUCUAGCAUCGCCUGGAACUCCAGUUCCAGCGUCAACUGCAACUGUAGUUGUAACAUCACCCGCAGUAUUAGUCUCAGCCCCGACCCAAGCUCCAGUACUGCCUGCAUCCUCAGUGCCAGGUCCAGCUUCACCUUCAGCCCCAGUUCCAUCCUCCACCUCAGCUCCAACCACAGCCUCUUCCUCAGCUUCAGCCUCAACCCCAGCUCCAACCCCUAUCCUUGCCUCAGCUUCAACCCCAGUGUCUGUCCCCAUUCUUGCCCCAGCGUCAAUUCCUAUCCUUGCUUCAGCCUUAGCACCAGCCUCAGCUCCACCUCCAGCCACGGCAGUCGCAGCCCCUGCUGCCUCAGCUUCAGUUUCAGCAGCCUCAGUCUCACUUGCGUCAGCCUCAGCUUCAGCCCCAACCCCAACCCCAGCCUCAGCCCCCACUGUGCCGGCCCAAACUCAGGCACAGACCCACAAACCAGUUCAGAGUCCCCUCCAGACUUCACAGGCUUCAAAACAGCCACCACCUUCAAUUAGGCUACCUUCGGCGCAGACGCCUAAUGGCACAGAUUAUGUAGCCACAGGAAAAUCCAUCCAGACUCCACAGUCACAUGGCAGUCUGACAGCUGAAUUAUGGGAUAACAAGGUGGCCCCACCAGCUGUGCUGAAUGACAUCUCUAAGAAAUUAGGUCCCAUUAGUCCACCUCAGCCACCUUCAGUCAGUGCAUGGAAUAAACCCUUAACUUCGUUUGGAUCGGCUACUUCAUCAGAGGGAACAAAAAAUGGUCAAGAGAGUGGUGUUGAAAUUGGUAUUGACACCAUUCAGUUUGGUGCUCCAGCUUCAAAUGGGAAUGAAAAUGAAGUUGUUCCUGUGCUUUCAGAAAAAUCUGACAAAAUAUCUGAACCUAAAGAACAACGGCAGAAACAACCACGAGCAGGACCUAUCAAAGCCCAGAAGCUUCCAGAUUUGAGUCCAGUAGAAAACAAAGAACAUAAACCUGGUCCCAUUGGAAAGGAACGUUCAUUAAAAAAUAGAAAAGUAAAAGAUGCCCAACAGGUGGAGCCAGAAGGACAAGAGAAGCCAGCCCCUGCUCCUGUCAGAAGCACUGAUUCUGUCACAGCAAAGGAAACCAAAGCAGUUUCGGAAAUGUCUGCAGAAAUAGGAACAAUGAUCUCCGUGUCUUCUGCAGAAUAUGCCUCUGAUGCAAAGGAGUCUGUAACAGACUAUACUACACCUUCUUCUUCUCUCCCUAACACUGUGGCUACUAAUAAUGCAAAGAUGGAGGAUGCUUUGGUUAAUAAUGUGCCCUUGCCCAACACCCUUCCCCUCCCUAAGAGGGAGACUAUACAACAGAGCUCCAGCCUCACUUCAGUUCCUCCCACUACUUUCAGCCUCACCUUCAAGAUGGAGUCAGCACGCAAGGCCUGGGAGAAUUCUCCAAAUGUGCGGGAAAAGGGUUCCCCGGUGACCUCCACAGCGCCUCCCCUCGCCAGUGGAGUGAGCAGCAGUGGCAGCGGGCCCAACGCUGCGAGUUACAGCUCCUUCUCGAGCGCAUCUGUGCCUCAGAUCCCUGUUGCCUCCGUCACUCCUACAACCCCACUGUCAGGAGCUGGUACAUACACUACCUCUUCUUUGAGUACAAAGUCUACAACCACAUCGGACCCUCCUAAUAUUUGUAAAGUGAAGCCCCAGCAAUUACAGACAAGCAGCCUGCCUUCUGCGAGUCAUUUUUCACAGUUAAGCUGUAUGCCUUCCCUUAUUGCCCAGCAACAGCAGAGCCCACAAGUUUAUGUGUCUCAGUCUGCAGCAGCUCAAAUCCCAGCUUUCUACAUGGAUACCAGUCAUUUAUUUAAUACCCAACAUGCACGAUUGGCUCCACCAUCCCUGGCUCAGCAACAAGGCUUCCAACCAGGUCUCUCUCAGCCAGCUUCAGUUCAGCAGAUCCCGAUCCCUAUUUAUGCACCGCUGCAAGGCCAGCAUCAAGCCCAGCUGAGUUUGGGGGCUGGACCUGCUGUUUCCCAGGCUCAGGAAUUAUUCAGCUCUUCGCUUCAACCAUACAGAUCUCAGCCAGCCUUUAUGCAGAGCAGCCUGUCUCAGCCCUCUGUGGUCCUUUCUGGUACUGCUAUCCACAACUUUCCACCUGUCCAGCACCAGGAGCUUGCCAAGGCACAGUCCGGUCUUGCCUUUCAACAAACUUCAAAUACUCAGCCUAUUCCUAUAUUGUAUGAACAUCAGCUAGGGCAGGCAUCAGGACUAGGAGGUUCCCAGCUGAUUGAUACACAUCUUCUCCAGGCUAGAGCAAAUCUUACCCAGGCCUCAAAUCUUUAUUCUGGACAAGUGCAACAACCUGGCCAGACAAAUUUUUAUAACACUGCCCAAUCACCGAGUGCUCUCCAGCAGGUAAACUAUGGCAUGGUUACAGUACCUUUGCCAGCAUCCCAGCUUUCCUUGCCUAACUUUGGAUCCACAGGGCAGCCUUUGAUUGCUUUGCCUCAGACUCUUCAGCCCCCAUUACAGCAUACCACCCCACAAGCACAGGCUCAGAGUCUGAGCCGUCCUGCACAAGUGAGCCAGCCUUUCAGAGGUCUGCUGGAACACAGCAUAGCAUGA
rnacentral:lncRNA from 1 species